CAGAUGCAGCCAAAGUGUUCAUGGCAAAGGAGAUUAAGGAGGCUGAAAAUAUGACUCCCGUUCCUCCUGCUUUUGCCUUUCAGAGUGUGCUCGGAAACGUGGAUGUUUUAAACCAAGAAGCACUGGAACCUACAUACUGAGGAGAACUACUGGAGGUAUGGAGAGAGAAGAAAACAGAAGACAGAUGCUCUGCCAGAAUACGCCAUGGGAAGCAAAUCCACACACAGACCCUUUCUGAACCAGAGGAGCUCAUCUGGCUUCUACUCCAUGUAAGUCU